rnacentral:rRNA from 1 species
AGCGAGCGGGAAGAGCUCAAAUUUAUAAUCUGGCACCUUCGGUGUCCGAGUUGUAAUCUCUAGAAGUGUUUUCCGCGUUGGACCGCACACAAGUCUGUUGGAAUACAGCGGCAUAGUGGUGAAACCCCCGUAUAUGGUGCGGACGCCCAGCGCUUUGUGAUACACUUUCAAUGAGUCGAGUUGUUUGGGAAUGCAGCUCAAAUUGGGUGGUAAAUUCCAUCUAAAGCUAAAUAUUGGCGAGAGACCGAUAGCGAACAAGUACCGUGAGGGAAAGAUGAAAAGCACUUUGGAAAGAGAGUUAACAGUACGUGAAAUUGUUGGAAGGGAAACGCUUGAAGUCAGACUUGCUUGCCGGAGCUUGCUUCGGUUUGCAGGCCAGCAUCAGUUUUCCGGGGUGGAUAAUGACGGUUUGAAGGUAGCAGUCUCGGCUGUGUUAUAGCUUUCCGUUGGAUACAUCCUGGGGGACUGAGGAACGCAGCGUGCUUUUUGCGAAAGACUCGUCUUUUUCACGCUUAGGAUGCUGGUGGAAUGGCUUUAAACGACCCGUCUU